rnacentral:rRNA from 1 species
AUACGAAGGGGGCUAGCGUUGUUCGGAAUUACUGGGCGUAAAGCGCGCGUAGGCGGACUGAUCAGUUGGGGGUGAAAUCCCAGGGCUUAACCCUGGAACUGCCUCCAAUACUGUCAGUCUUGAGUUCGGGAGAGGUGAGUGGAAUUCCUAGUGUAGAGGUGAAAUUCGUAGAUAUUAGGAAGAACACCAGUGGCGAAGGCGGCUCACUGGCCCGAUACUGACGCUGAGGCGCGAAAGCGUGGGGAGCAAACGGGAUUAGAAACCCCAGUAGUCC